UGCCAGCCGCCGCGGUAACACGGGGGGCGCAAGUGUUAUUCGGAAUGAUUGGGCGUAAAGAGCUUGUAGGUGGCGUACAGUGAUAAACGGUGCCAUCCCAAGGCCUAACCUUGGGAAUGCCUUUAAUACUUGUAUGCUAGAGUAUGUAUAAGGAAAGUGGAAUGCCAUAUGGAGCGGUUAAAUGCGUAGAUAUAUGGAGGAAGACCAAAAGCGAAGGCAACUUUCUGGUACAUGACUGACACUGAGAAGCGAAAGCGUGGGUAGCGAAUGGGAUUAGAUA
rnacentral:rRNA from 1 species